GCAAGGCUGUUCCGGGGCUGAAUUAAUUGAAGUUUGUACAGUGUUUUGAAAGCCUCCAAUGAAAGAUGCCACAAAAGUGCAAAGAUAUUUUAUUUCCUUACUUGCUGCACUUUCAGUUAAAACUGGUGACUAGCAUAUGACCUAACCAGAACCAGGAUUUUACAUAACAGAAAAGAUCUCUUUGACAUUUCUUUUAAGCAUAACAAAAUAAACACUUCCCACCAUCAGACUCACAAGAGAUCCUGUAUCAGAGAUAGAAAUCACAAUUUAAAGCAAGAACUCCUUUUAUGGUAUUCAACAGUCAACAGAAAAAUCCUUAAAUACCAGUGUACGGAUCAUGGGAAAACGAACAUGAAGGGCUACUUUCUGUUCUCAGAUCAGCAGGAGUUAAGAUCGGCUCAGAGGACUGCUCAGCAUCUUCAGGGAUCAGACCUUAACUGAAGGCAGAAUUUGAUCCACAGUUGCUCUUACCUCACUCCCUUAACAAUCUCAGCUAGGAGACAGUAUUCUAGCAAACAGAUGCAUCAAGUUACUUGCUGUCUUCCUUGCUGCUUAGUUCCUCCACAGCCCUAAGCAGUCUUGCCCUGCUUUAAGAAGACCGAACAUAGCACAGGGCCAUUAUCCGUUCAUUGCUUGGGUUUGGUUGAGCUCU